UGAGUGCGAGCUGCUACGGCAGCGAAGUUGGUGACGUCAUGCUUCCAAGAAAAGCCCUAUACCCGUUAAGGCAUCAUGGCCUGUACCCGAAACCGACACAGGUGGGGUGGUAGAGAAUACCGAGGGGCGCGAGGUAACUCUCUCUAAGGAACUCGGCAAAAUGGCCCCGUAACUUCGGGAGAAGGGGUGCCACCGCAAGGUGGUCGCAGUGAAGAGGCCCAGGCGACUGUUUACCAAAAACACAGGUCUCCGCUAAGUCGCAAGACGAUGUAUGGGGGCUGACGCCUGCCCAGUGCCGGAAGGUUAAGGAAGCUGGUCAGCGCAAGCGAAGCUAGCGACUGAAGCCCCGGUGAACGGCGGCCGUAACGAUAACGGUCCUAAGGUAGCGAAAUUCCUUGUCGGGUAAGUUCCGACCCGCACGAAAGGCGUAACGAUCUGGGCGCUGUCUCGGAGAGAGGCUCGGCGAAAUAGAAUUGUCUGUGAAGAUGCGGACUACGUGCACCCGGACAGAAAGACCCUAUGAAGCUUUACUGUAGCUUGGUAUUGUGCCCGGGCUCGCAAUGCGCAGGAUAGGUGGGAGGCUUUGAUCAUCGGCUUGCGGGUCGAUGUGAGCCAACGGUGAGAUACCACUCUUUGCGAGCUAGGGUUCUAACGGCCACCCGUCAUCCGGGGGCCGGACAGUACCUGGUGGGCAGUUUGACUGGGGCGGUCGCCUCCUAAAAGGUAACGGAGGCGCGCAAAGGUUUGCUCAGGCUGGUUGGAAAUCAGCCGACGAGUGUAAAAGCAGAAGCAAGCUUGACUGUGAGACCAACAAGUCGAACAGGGAGGAAACUCGGCUUUAGUGAUCCGACGGUUCUGAGUGGAAGGGCCGUCGCUCAACGGAUAAAAGUUACUCUAGGGAUAACAGGCUGAUCUCCCCCAAGAGUUCACAUCGACGGGGAGGUUUGGCACCUCGAUGUCGGCUCAUCGCAACCUGGGGCUGAAGUCGGUCCCAAGGGUUGGGCUGUUCGCCCAUUAAAGCGGUACGCGAGCUGGGUUCAGAACGUCGUGAGACAGUUCGGUCCAUAUCCGGUGCACGCGCAGGAAUAUUGAGAGGAUUUCUCCCUAGUACGAGAGGACCGGGAGGAACGCACCUCUGGUGUACCAGUUAUCGUGCCAACGGUAAACGCUGGGUAGCCAUGUGCGGAGUGGAUAACCGCUGAAAGCAUCUAAGUGGGAAGCCCACCUCAAGAUGAGUAUUCCCAUGGCGUAAGCCAGUAAGGUCACGGGAAGAACACCCGUUGAUAGGCUCUAUGUGGAAGCGCAGUAAUGCGUGAAGCAGAGGAGUACUAAUAGACCGAGGGCUUGACC
rnacentral:rRNA from 1 species